GAUGAACGCUGGCGGCGUGCCUAAUACAUGCAAGUCGAGCGAACGGACGAGAAGCUUGCUUCUCUGAUGUUAGCGGCGGACGGGUGAGUAACACGUGGAUAACCUACCUAUAAGACUGGGAUAACUUCGGGAAACCGGAGCUAAUACCGGAUACUAUUUUGAACCGCAUGGUUCAAAAGUAAAAGACGGUCUUGCUGUCACUUAUAGAUGGAUCCGCGCUGCAUUAGCUAGUUGGUAAGGUAACGGCUUACCAAGGCAACGAUGCAUAGCCGACCUGAGAGGGUGAUCGGCCACACUGGAACUGAGACACGGUCCAGACUCCUACGGGAGGCAGCAGUAGGGAAUCUUCCGCAAUGGGCGAAAGCCUGACGGAGCAACGCCGCGUGAGUGAUGAAGGUCUUCGGAUCGUAAAACUCUGUUAUUAGGGAAGAACAUAUGUGUAAGUAACUGUGCACAUCUUGACGGUACCUAAUCAGAAAGCCACGGCUAACUACGUG
rnacentral:rRNA from 1 species